CGAGUCGAUCCAUCACAGGAAGUCAAAGUCGUAACUAGGUUUCCCUAGGUGAACCUGCGGAAGGAUCAUUACUGAGCUGUCGACACGAGCUGUUGCUGGUCCUCAAACAAGGGGGCAUGUGCACGCUCUGUUCACACAUCUACUCACAGGUGCACCGUCUGUAGUUUUAUGGUCUGGGGGACACACCGUCUUCCUCCCGUGGCUCUACGUCUUUACACACACAUCGUAGUUAAGUUUUAUGGAAUGUGCAUCGCUUUUAACGUAAUACAAUACAACUUUCAGCAACGGAUCUCUUGGCUCUCGCAUCGAUGAAGAACGCAGCGAAAUGCGAUAAGUUAUGUGAAUUGCAGAAUUCAGUGAAUCAUCGAAUCUUUGAACGCACCUUGCGCCCCUUGGCUAUUCCGAGGGGCAUGCCUGUUUGAGUAUCAUGAACACCUCAACUCCUCAUGUUUCCCGUGAUGAGCUUGGACUUCUGGAGGUUUUGCUUACCUGCGGUCUCUCCUCUCAAACGCAUCAGCUUGCCAGUGUUUGGUGGCAUCACUGGUGAGAUAACUAUCUAUGCUCGUGGCCGUCUGCCAGAUAACCUUCAGCGAUGGAGGUUUGCUUGAGCUCACAAAGGUCUUUCCACAGCCAAGACUGCUUUUUUAACUUUCGAUCUCAAAUCCCGUAGGACACCCGCUGAACCGUAGCUGACUAGCGCGCCUAA
rnacentral:rRNA from 1 species